rnacentral:rRNA from 1 species
GGGGAAUAUUGGACAAUGGGGGCAACCCUGAUCCAGCCAUGCCGCGUGUGUGAAGAAGGCCUUUUGGUUGUAAAGCACUUUAAGCAGUGAAGAAGACCAUGUGGUUAAUACCCACAUGCGAUGACAUUAGCUGCAGAAUAAGCACCGGCUAACUCUGUGCCAGCAGCCGCGGUAAUACAGAGGGUGCAAGCGUUAAUCGGAAUUACUGGGCGUAAAGGGAGCGUAGGUGGCUCUAUAAGUCAGAUGUGAAAUCCCCGGGCUCAACCUGGGAACUGCAUCUGAUACUGUAGAGCUAGAAUAGGUGAGAGGAAGGUAGAAUUCCAGGUGUAGCGGUGAAAUGCGUAGAGAUCUGGAGGAAUACCGAUGGCGAAGGCAGCCUUCUGGCAUCAUAUUGACACUGAGGCUCGAAAGCGUGGGUAGCAAAC